UUGGGGUGUAAACCCCAAAUGUGCUGGUAGCAGAUGGGAAGUUAAACAUUGAUUAUUUCCCCAGGUUGGCACAAAAUUGGCAUCUGGAAUUAAUUGGCUGUUUGCCCACGGUGUGGAGCUCAGCAGGAGCUGAAGGAUAUUUGUCAUCUUUUGAUGCUGUGCCAAAAAAAAAACGGAAUUUUGGGAGAGGAAAAACCUCCGGAAGCGUCUUCCCGAAAAAUCCGUGCUCCAAAAAAAACCAGGGCAGGAAUUUCAGGUAAAAAAUAAAAUUCAGGUAAAUAAAAUUCAAAUUUCAGCAGCUCAGGAG
rnacentral:lncRNA from 1 species